GACACUGCCACUCGAAUUCCUUUCUAGAUCCAAUUUAGCGUUGCCUCCUCUUUCUCUCUCAGGCACAAAAUGCAGAGAUUGCAGGAAGAGACUCAAUGUGCCACACUGCCCUGCGCAUCGACUCUUUAGCGAGAAUACUUCAUUCUCCGUUAAUGAAUAAACCCAUUCAUUUCCCCCGCCAACCCGCUCCCCGCCUGUUUGCAGGAGGCACACAGCGACGAACGCGAGGAUGAAAGCUUGCUUCAGAACAUUCACCUCGCAUUAACACGGACACGGCGUUUUUUUAAAUUUCGCCUCGAUCAUAACUGUUUUCGCUGCAGGAAUGUAAAAUAUAAGUUCCUCAAUUGCAGCAAUGAAUGUGGUUAAAUGACAAACGCUUGUGCCUCAAGCAAAUGACUCCUCGCUCGCUAACGUGACAGACCGGCGAAGAAAGUUACAAGAUCUGACCAGACAUGAAAGCAUUUGCUCCCUGACAGCAAAAUAGCCAGGAUGCCCGGCAAUAAGCUGGACCAAAACACUAUGGCAGCCAGCUCCCCUCAUGGAAGGUGGGCAUUCUUCAUGCCUGGAUCGUGAUGUGUGCCAGGUUCAUCAGUCCAGCUGGUAGGAUCAUUCAUUCAGGGACAGAAUAAUAUCAUCUUCCAAGUCAGAGUUAUCCGUGGUAUCCGCUGGACAAAGUGGGGAGGAGAAUUAAUUACCAUUAGUUAAUUACAAGGACCAUUAAAAAUAAAGGACUCCAUUUGACAGAUACUUAUUUACAUGGGGUCUUACCAGAUUAGCAGUUACCUGAAUGUUUGAAUGGGGGCAUUUCUUAAUACUCAGCAUUCCAGCCCUUCUGUCACUCUUGUUUCCUUGCACCUCAAUCUCCUAAAGCCACCACUCUCUUAGGAAUAGCAAUCACACAUGCCAGGUUCUAGUUGAGACUCUGCAACACUACUCUCAGACUCAACCAUUCCAAUAUGUUCCUGUUCAGCCUCUCAUCUUCCACCCUUCAAGUUUAGCUAAUAUUCUGCUGGCCUUUGAACAAUUUUGCACUGACUUCCAGGAGGUUAGCUGGUCAGCAGCUUAGGAGGUAAAAGGGUAAGGGAACAAGGACUGUCCCUGUGCCAAGGUGAAUUCGGCGGGGAUACAAGUGAAGUCAGAAGAAAAGUAAAAAUAAGAAAACUCAGAUUUAAAGCAUGGGGGAGUCUGAGAGGGAUGUAUUUCCUAGGGGGUUAAUUGAAGUGAAGGUAGCAGGGUCAACUGAAUUGAUGAUAUUUGUUUUUGUAACAAAGUCUACAAGCUCCUCACAAUUAUUGUUGGACGUGGAGAAGGAAGAACAGAGGGUGCUUCCAAAGUAUCGUUUGUAGUGAAGGUAAACUAGACAAUGUCACGAAACACUGACUUCUCCUCCUCCAGACGAUGCCUGUAUGGCUGUGUUUUUUCCAGCCCUCUGUUUGUCCACCUUGGAUUCCAGCAUCUGCAGCUUUUUGUCUCUAGACAUUUUCUUUGUCUCUCUGGAUCAUGUUUGAUUGCAAGGCAGGUUAUGAGAUGGACAAUAUUGCUUAACAAAGUAUUAAGUGGUCUAAUUGGAAUUGGUAGUGAAUAAUUAAAUCAGCAGUUAGUUUAAAGGUUUUAAGUUUACAUCCUUGAGACUUAAGGGAGUCAAAAUGAAGGUACAUCAGGAAAUGAUCAGGAAAGCAGAGGCAAGUCAUGAAAAUUAGUUGAGGUGCUAUUUAGCAAAACAAUAAAUAUUGCAGCAACAUGACGAAUUAAAGGCCAGAGGUGAGAGUAUUGGGGAUUUGAGUGUGCUGUGUUAAGUGACUUGAGGGACAGUACCUUCUAGGUCUGGACUCA